GCAGUGUAAUGCUUUGAUUAAGCACCUGCUGGACAAUCUGAUCCACCUGCUGCCAGACAUGUAUCUUCAUGCAUCCGCCAGCAACACAGCAAUUAAAGGUUACCAAAACUGGACGACUUGGGCGAAUGAGAAAACGAUUCAGAGGUUUUUGGAGGAAUUUGUGCUCAUGCACUCACAGCAGUGACAUAGAGCAUGAAAAAGCCUCUGGAGACCAGAUAUAGAAGAGUAAAGAAACAUGAGGGAUGGC